UUAUUAAUGUUCAGAAGCAUUAACAGUAAACGAAGCUGAGUCAACAUGAGCUGUUUCUUUUUUCUACACUGGGGCACAUAUAGUAGCUGGAAGGUUCUUGCAAUUUGAUGAUGCCUCUAUAUUUGUGAAAAGGGAGUUAAAGUAGGUUGGCUCUCCUAAAUUUAUGUCCGAGGGAAAUUCAGUGGCUUUAUAUCACUCUAUCCCUUCAACUCCUAUUAAACAGAUAUCUCUAACUCUUAUCAACGGUUCAAGAUAGGAAUAAGAACAAAUAUAUAUAUAUAUAUAUUUUCCCCUUCAACAGAAGCAGUUGCGAAUCGUUGAAAAUACUGUAACGUGUAAAAACUCAACCUGCUUUGAAAGAGACUUAAUUGGGAUGGAAAUGGAAGUUUUCCGUACUAUCCAAGAUUGAAAAAUUCAUCAUUGAAGAAGAAAACGCAGAUUGGUCCUAUCAACGGAAAAUAAGAAUACAGCAGGUUGAAUUUGAUGCAACACACGGAUUUAUCGAAUAUAAUAGAAGCUACUGUUCAAACACUUGCAGUGAAGCCUCUUUAGUUGAAAACCAAGCGAAGACGUUUGGAAAAAACAUACCUUGAUGAGCCAGUGUCACUUAUCAAACAUCAAAGGAUAUAACUCUCUUCGGACGAAAAAUAAUUGAUGUAGGGUAUUUUUUCAACAGAAUUCGACAAAAAUACAAUCACGGUCCCUUUCCUUACCAAAUAUAAUUGUCGUAUUUGAUAUAUGAAAAGGAUUACGAACUGGUAUUAUUUUUUCACAGAAAUUGUUUGGUGGGAAAAUCCAGAUUCUCUCAAAAUGUCAUAAAUGCUGCUUCUGUUUUGGAUAUCAUAGUUAUGGGCGAAAGAUAUUCUCUCAGCUUCAGAUAUUCCGUCCGUGUCAUCACAUGCUUUCCAAAAGGAGCAUGGCCGUAUUUCGGCAAUUUGGGAAGAAACCGUUACAAAUGAAAUGCCCGAUACAUCAGUGGAAGAGAAACAUCUGGCAAUAGAAGCAAAUGAAAUAUAUUCGCAUGGGAUACCUCUUCUGACUGCAGUUGCAGAAGGUUGCUGAGCAACAAGAUCACAUAGGAGAAAUUAUUUAUUUCUAUCCGCAGCGGCGGCAAUCGUAAGGUUUCCAACAAAGAAAAUUCUGCACCUGGGGAUUAUCCGGUGCUGAAGCUGCAAGGUUAGAAAGGGCGACUACUGAACAAAAAAGUAGAUCCCUGUGAAGAGAGGGACCUCGGAAGCGACUAGCAGCUGCAAUGUUAACAAAGGGCAACUACUGAACAAAAAUGCAGGGCGCUGUGAGGAAAGGAACCUCAGAAACGACCGACAGCUUCAAAUUUUGAAGUAGUUAUGGUGCAAAAAGGAAUCCACCAGCUACGAAAAUAUUGUUAAAAAUAAAUUAUGCACUUUCUUU